rnacentral:lncRNA from 1 species
GAAGGAUUUGAUCCCAAAGCUGUUUCAAGUACUGGCCCCUCGGUACAAAGAUCAAACUGGGGGCUACACAAGAAUGCUGCAGAUCCCAAAUCGGAGUUUGGAUCGGGCCAAGAUGGCAGUGAUCGAGUAUAAAGGGAAUUGCCUCCCACCCCUGCCUCUGCCUCGCAGAGACAGCCACCUUACACUCCUAAACCAGCUGCUGCAGGGUUUGCGGCAGGACCUCAGGCUGCCGUUCCCUUGGGUUCAGAGGCUUUAGUAGGGUAGUAGUUAUGGAAGGACUUAGAAAGGAGCCAUCAGUCUUGG